rnacentral:rRNA from 1 species
GAUGAACGCUGGCGGCGUGCCUAACACAUGCAAGUCGAGCGAUUCUCUUCGGAGAAGAGCGGCGGACGGGUGAGUAACGCGUGGGUAACCUGCCCUGUACACACGGAUAACAUACCGAAAGGUAUGCUAAUACGGGAUAAUAUAUAAGAGUCGCAUGACUUUUAUAUCAAAGAUUUUUCGGUACAGGAUGGACCCGCGUCUGAUUAGCUUGUUGGCGGGGUAACGGCCCACCAAGGCGACGAUCAGUAGCCGACCUGAGAGGGUGAUCGGCCACAUUGGAACUGAGACACGGUCCAAACUCCUACGGGAGGCAGCAGUGGGGAAUAUUGCACAAUGGGCGCAAGCCUGAUGCAGCAACGCCGCGUGAGCGAUGAAGGCCUUCGGGUCGUAAAGCUYUGUCCUCAAGGAAGAUAAUGACGGUWCUKRAGG